rnacentral:rRNA from 1 species
GCCCUAGUAACGGCGAGUGAAGCGGCAACAGCUCAAAUUUGAAAUCUGGCUCCCUUGCGGGGUCCGAGUUGUAAUUUGCAGAGGAUGCUUUAGGCGAGGUGCCUUCCGAGUGCCCUGGAACGUGCCGCCGGAGAGGGUGAGAGCCCCGUACGGUAGGUGACCGAGCCGCUGUAAAGCUCCCUCGAAGAGUCGAGUAGUUUGGGAAUGCUGCUCAAAUUGGGAGGUAAACUCCUUCUAAAGCUAAAUACUGGCCAGAGACCGAUAGCGCACAAGUAGAGUGAUCGAAAGAUGAAAAGCACUUUGAAAAGAGAGUUAAACAGUACGUGAAAUUGUUGAAAGGGAAGCGCUCGUGGCCAGACCUGCCACCGCCAGCUUACCCGUCCUUCUUGGGCGGUGCACUCUGGCGGCGCAGGCCAGCAUCGGUUUCCUGCAGGGGAGAAACGCGGCGGGAACGUGGCUCUUCGGAGUGUUAUAGCCCGCCGUGAUAUGCCCUGUGGGGGACCGAGGACCGCGCCUUCGGGCAAGGAUGCUGGCGUAAUGGCCACUAGCGACCCGUCUUGAAACACGGACCAAGGAGUCAUCCUAGCAUGCGAGUGUUUGGGUGUAAAACCCCCGACGCGUAAUGAAAGUGAACGGAGGUGAGAGCUUCGGCGCAUCAUCGACCGAUCCUGAUGUCUUCGGAUGGAUUUGAGUAGGAGCAUGCUGGGCUGGACCCGAAAGAAGGUGAACUAUGCUUGGAUAGGGUGAAGCCAGAGGAAACUCUGGUGGAGGCUCGCAGCGGUUCUGACGUGCAAAUCGAUCGUCAAAUCUGAGCAUGGGGGCGAAAGACUAAUCGAACCUUUUAGUAGCUGGUUUCCGCCGAAGUUUCCCUCAGGAUAGCAGUGCUGGUCUCAGUUUUAUGAGGUAAAGCGAAUGAUUAGGGACUCGGGGGCGCUUUUAAGCCUUCAUCCAUUCUCAAACUUUAAAUAUGUAAGAAGCCCUCGUU